rnacentral:rRNA from 1 species
UACGGAGGAUGCAAGCGUUAUCAGGAAUGAUUGGGCGUAAAGGGUCCGCAGGUGGCAGUGUAAGUCUGCUGUCAAAGAAUGAGGCUUAACCUUAUCAAGGCAGUGGAAACUACACAGCUAGAGUACGGUCGGGGUAGAAGGAAUUCCUGGUGUAGCGGUGAAAUGCGUAGAGAUCAGGAAGAACACCGGUGGCGAAAGCGUUCUGCUAGACCUGUACUGACACUGAGGGACGAAAGCUAGGGGAGCGAAUGGG